AUGCUGAUUGUGCGCUGGUCUUGUGGCGUGUGUUUGCUGCGCGUGUGGCGUGUGUGUGCUGGUCUUGUGGCGUGUGUGUGCUGGUCUUGUGGCGUGUGUGCUGGUCGUGUGGCGUGUGUGUGCUGGUCGUGUGGCGUGUGUGUGCUGGUCGUGUGGCGUGUGUGUGCUGGGCGUGUGUGCUGGUCGUGUGGCGUGUGUGUGCUGGUUGUGUGGCGUGUGUGUGCUGGGCGUGUGUGCUGGUGUGUGUGCUGGUCUUGUGGCGUGUGUGUGCUGGGCCUGUGCGUGUGUGUGCUGGUCUUGUGGCGUGUGUGUGCUGGGCGUGUGUGUGCUGGUGUGUGUGCUGGUGUGUGUGCUGGUCGUGUGGCGUGUGUGUGCGGGGCGUGUGUGUGUGUGCUGGUGUGUGUGGCAUCAAUGCACUGGUCCGGUGGGGGGAUGUGCUGGAUGUUGGUGCUGCUGCUGGUCUCGGUGUUGGGGGGGCAGUGCCAGUUGUGUGCGGGGGGGCGGGCCAAAGGUCGCAGGAGGCAGAAAGACACCCGUGCCCAGAUCACCGAGCUGCUGAACACCACCCUCGCUGGCACAGAGGAGCGCGGGCACAGGAAGAUUACGGAGCUCCAUGGGUUAGAUCCUCAAGGAUCCUGGAGAGAUUUUGUCAAUCGGCCUGACGACACCCUCCAACGCCGCGCUCGAAACAAGAAGAGAACUCUGGUUGGUGAUGACAUCACAGAGCUGCCUUCUGCUCCAUCAACAGUUAAAGUACAUUACUAACAUCACACACACACACACCACACACACACACACACCACACACACACACACACACCACACACACAUCACACACAUUACUAACAUCACACACACACACCACACACACACACACACACACACACACACACACACACCACACACACAUUACUAACAUCAAACACACACACACACACACACACACACACAUACACACACACACACACACCACACACACACACACACACACCACACAUAGAGCUGCUCUUAAAUAGAAAUUAAUGAAGAUGAGUAGAGUAGAGCAGAGAAGUGCAAGACACACUGAUUUGACUGAGAUGUUCAUUAUCUGUUUACAACCCUGAUCACAACUAUCUGAUUACAACUUCUCUGUUUAACACCCUGAUCACAACUAUCUGAUUAAAACUAUCUGAUUACAACCCUGAUCACAACUAUCUGAUUAACACCCUGAUCACAACUAUCUGAUUACAACUUCUCUGUUUAACACCCUGAUCACAACUAUCUGAUUAAAACUAUCUGAUUAACACCCUGAUCACAACUAUCUGAUUACAACCCUGAUCACAACUAUCUGAUUACAACCCUGAUUACAACUAUCUGAUUACAACCCUGAUUACAACUAUCUGAUUACAACCCUGAUCACAACUAUCUGAUUAAAACUAUCUGAUUAACACCCUGAUCACAACUAUCUGAUUACAACCCUGAUCACAACUAUCUGAUUACAACCCUGAUUACAACUAUCUGAUUACAACCCUGAUUACAACUAUCUGAUUACAACCCUGAUUACAACUAUCUGAUUCUAACCCCGAUUACAACUAUCUGUUUAACACCCUGAUCACAACUAUCUGAUUACAACCCUGAUCACAACUACAGUAUCUGUUUACAACCCUGAUCACAACUACAGUAUUUGUUUACAACCCUGAUCACAACUAUCUGAUUAUUACUUCUCUGUUUAACACCCUGAUCACAACUAUCUGAGUAUUACUUCUCUGUUUAACACCCUGAUCACAACUAUCUGAUUAUAACUUCUCUGUUUAACACCCUGAUCACAACUAUCUGAUUACAACUUCUCUGUUUAACACCCUGAUUACAACCAUCUAGAAAAUUGCAUCUGUAACUCCCUCACUGGGUUGUAUGUAGGUUAGUAUAGGUCAAUAGGUUAGCCUAGUGUAUUAUAUGUGUAUUAUAUGUUAUAUGUAUAUAUGUUAGUAUUAUAUGUAUAGGCUGCUAUAUGUAUAUUUAGUAUUAUAUGUAUAGGUUGUUAUAUGUUUAGCACACCGUAUUGUAUAUUUAUCUUGUAUAUUUAGUAAGGUUAUUUAGGUUAUUAUAUGUUUAUAUGUUUAUUAUGUGUAAAUUAUGUUCAUAGUACUUGUGCAGAGUGUACGUCAUGUUUUUUUAUGUUAUAUUAUGUGAUGCUAUGUUAUGGUAGGUUUGGGCGGCGCCUUGUCGUAAGAAUUUCAGUGCCCAGUCUGACCCUGUGUCAUUUUGUGCAUCUGACAAAUAAAAGACUUGUAACUUGUAACUAUCUGAUUACA
rnacentral:lncRNA from 1 species